rnacentral:rRNA from 1 species
UACGUAGGGUGCAAGCGUUGUCCGGAAUUAUUGGGCGUAAAGAGCUCGUAGGCGGCUUGUCGCGUCGACUGUGAAAACUCGGGGCUCAACUCCGAGCUUGCAGUCGAUACGGGCAGGCUAGAGUUCGGUAGGGGAGACUGGAAUUCCUGGUGUAGCGGUGAAAUGCGCAGAUAUCAGGAGGAACACCGAUGGCGAAGGCAGGUCUCUGGGCCGAUACUGACGCUGAGGAGCGAAAGCGUGGGGAGCGAACAGG